AUUGAACGCUGGCGGCAUGCCUUACACAUGCAAGUCGAACGGUAACUGGUCUUCGGAUGCUGACGAGUGGCGAACGGGUGAGUAAUACAUCGGAACGUGCCUAGUAGUGGGGGAGAACUACUCGAAAGAGUGGCUAAUACCGCAUGAGAUCUACGGAUGAAAGCAGGGGAUCGCAAGACCUUGUGCUACUAGAGCGGCCGAUGGCAGAUUAGGUAGUUGGUGGGAUAAAAGCUUACCAAGCCGACGAUCUGUAGCUGGUCUGAGAGGACGAUCAGCCACACUGGGACUGAGACACGGCCCAGACUCCUACGGGAGGCAGCAGUGGGGAACUUUGGACAAUGGGCGCAAGCCUGAUCCAGCAAUGCCGCGUGCAGGAUGAAGGCCUUCGGGUUGUAAACUGCUUUUGUACGGAACGAAAAGCCCCGGGUUAAUACCCUGGGGUCAUGACGGUACCGUAAGAAUAAGCACCGGCUAACUACGUGCCAGCCGCCGCAGUAA
rnacentral:rRNA from 1 species